AGAGUUUGAUCAUGGCUCAGAACGAACGCUUGCGGCGUGCCUAACACAUGCAAGUCGAACGAGAAAAUCUUGCUUGCAAGAUGAGUAAAGUGGCGCACGGGUGAGUAACGCGUGGGUAAUCUACCUUUGGGGCAGGGAUAACACUCCGAAAGGGGUGCUAAUACCUGAUACGAUGCGAGCUUCACAAGGAGCUUGCAUGAAAGGUGACCUCUUCCUUGAAAGUUGCCGCUCGAAGAUGAGCCCGCGUCCCAUUAGCUUGUUGGUGGGGUAAUGGCCUACCAAGGCUCAGAUGGGUAGCUGGUCUGAGAGGAUGAUCAGCCACACUGGAACUGAGACACGGUCCAGACUCCUACGGGAGGCAGCAGUGGGGAAUAUUGCGCAAUGGGGGAAACCCUGACGCAGCAACGCCGCGUGAGUGAUGAAGGCCUUCGGGUCGUAAAGCUCUGUCAGGUGGGAAGAACAAGAGGAUCUCCAAUAAAGUUUCUCUUUGACGGUACCACCAGAGGAAGCACCGGCUAACUCCGUGCCAGCAGCCGCGGUAAUACGGAGGGUGCAAGCGUUGUUCGGAAUCACUGGGCGUAAAGCGCGUGCAGGCGGCCUAUUAAGUCAGAUGUGAAAGCCCUCGGCUCAACCAAGGAACUGCAUCUGAAACUGGUAGGCUUGAGUACGGGAGAGGAGAGUGGAAUUCCCGGUGUAGAGGUGAAAUUCGUAGAUAUCGGGAAGAACACCGGUGGCGAAGGCGGCUCUCUGGACCGAUACUGACGCUGAGACGCGAAAGCGUGGGGAGCAAACAGGAUUAGAUACCCUGGUAGUCCACGCUGUAAACGAUGGGCACUAGGUGUGGAGGGUAUUGACCCCUUCUGUGCCGGAGCUAACGCAUUAAGUGCCCCGCCUGGGAAGUACGGCCGCAAGGCUAAAACUCAAAGGAAUUGACGGGGGCCCGCACAAGCGGUGGAAGCAUGUGGU
rnacentral:rRNA from 1 species